GCGGCUUAAUUUGACUCAACGCGGGGUAAUUUACCAGAUAUAACAUGGUAUAAUAUUUUAUCAUGAUAGUGGUGCAUGGCCGUUUCCAAUGGAUGCUGUGAAGUAAUGAUUAAUUUCAACAAGAUGUGAGACCCUCGUUUAGACAGAUGUAGUGAUACAUAUGAAGGAGAGGAUUAAAACAGGUCCGUUAUGCCCUAAGAUAAUCUGGGUUGCACGCGCAAUACAAUAAUAUUUGAUAUUAUAAGGGAUAAUAUAAUGUAAGAUAUAUUUGAACAUGGAAUUGCUAGUAAAUUUUAUUUAAUAAGUAGAAUUGAAUGAGUCCCUGUUCUUUGUACACACCGCCCGUCGCUAUCUAAGAUGGUAUUAUCUAUGAACAAAUUUAUAAAGUGAAUAGAUAGUACUAGAUCUGAUAUAAGUCGUAACAUGGUUGCUGUUGGAGAACCAUUAGCAGGAUCAUAA
rnacentral:rRNA from 1 species